CACAAAAAACACGUCGGACGGCAAAGAGGAGCUACAAAUGCCUGAGGAUUCAGCUUUAGAGGAUCAACACACAUUUUCCUUUAAAAAUAUAUAAGUAUUAUAAGGUUUUUCCUCUCUCUUUCUCUCUCUCGCUCUCUUUUAAGAAAAUGUACUACGUAGAAUUGCUUUUCUUCUUCCCAUCCCCCCUUCAAAACCUCAAGCAAACUCGAGGAAUCAUGCCAAAAGUCCCGUUGCUAGUUACCAAGUGCAUUUUUUUAAACGUCCCUUUGAUACUUCUUUCCCUCAUGCUUGCUGUGGAAUAUGCAAGUGAGAUAAUCUUUCCAUUACUUAGAAAAGCAAUUAAAAACAACUUUCAGUUGAACUUUCCUUUUUAUUGAGGGGGCAAAAGAAGGGGGGGAAGGGGAGAAGAGGGAGAAUAUUUUUUCCUCUUCCCAGAACCCAACAUUUGGCUUUUUCCAUUUGUGGCAGAUCACUGUAACUCUAUUGUAAAACAACUUCCUGCCCCUUUUGGCUCAAGUUCCAGAAGCUGCUAGGCUAAGUUCAUAGCACAAACUUUUUUUCUCCUUGCCGAAGAAGCAAGACAAAAAAAUCCUUGCUAAUUAUUUUGCCCUCUUUUUUGCAAAUGGAUUCAUAAGAUGAAUUUAUUGCAGUCCCCUUAACAAUGUUACAAAAGAGACGUCCGUAUACCAGCUGGAUAAUUCAUAAAUUUAAAAGUGAGAAUAACUACUCAAGGGACCAACAAAAGUCAGUUGCAUAAUUCUGCUGGCCGUCAAAAUAAAGAUUUCAGUGAUGAAUGGAGAAUAUCAUACAGAAGAAACAGAUGAAUGUGGGUAACAGAACAUAAUAUACAUCUUUCAAAUGUAUGAAAUAUUUUUUUCUGAAGGAAAUAUUAUAGCAUUAUAUUAAAUAUUAUAAAUUAGCUGAAAUAAAUUUCACAAUGAUCACUGGUCACAUUAAGCAGCUAAAAUGAUACAUCAGGUUCUGCUUUCAGACUGCGAGUAAAUCAAGAAUAACCUUUUGAAGUCAAACAGAAUCAUAUUGCUGUAAAACCAAUGCAAGUGAGAGAAGAAUCUAGUCCACUUAUACACCGGCUUUUACAUUUUACAUCAUCAUCAACUCCAUUUUACAUGAUCCUUCACUAUUUAGGGAGUUCAAUGGGUGAUUUGACAAAGUAAGGACAGUACCUUUGUAUGGUAUAUCCCGUACAUGUUGAGGAUGUCUUGGGCAUAAGGUGAUAAAAUCUGACGGAGUACGCUGUCACAUUUCUUUGCAAGAUGAAAAACUGUGCAUAUUUUGAGAUAAGGUCUCUGUCCCAAAUGUCCAGAUUUAGUAUCUCAGUUACCAUAUUUUAGGAUUCACUUUUUAGACAAAUUUAGUAACUUUCUCUUAUCUAAUAAUCUCUGCUUAGAAAAUUAAGAUUAGCAAAUUCAGAAAAUAAUGUUAAAAUAAUUGCAAAUUCUUUACUGCCAUUUAAAAUGUGAACUGAUGUAAGAUUUUCAAAUCAGAGAAAUAAAGCACUUGCAGAUGUUAUACUGGAA